GAUGAACGCUGGCGGCGUGCUUAACACAUGCAAGUCGAACGAUGAACCUCACUUGUGGGGGGAUUAGUGGCGAACGGGUGAGUAACACGUGAGUAACCUGCCCUUGACUCUGGGAUAAGCCUGGGAAACUGGGUCUAAUACCGGAUAUGACUCCUCAUCGCAUGGUGGGGGUGGAAAGCUUUUGUGGUUUUGGAUGGACUCGCGGCCUAUCAGCUUGUUGGUGAGGUAAUGGCNCACCAAGGCGACGACGGGUAGCCGGCCUGAGAGGGUGACCGGCCACACUGGGACUGAGACACGGCCCAGACUCCUACGGGAGGCGGCAGGUGGGGAAUAUUGCACAAUGGGCGAAAGCCUGAUGCAGCGACGCCGCGUGAGGGAUGACGGCCU
rnacentral:rRNA from 1 species